rnacentral:ncRNA from 1 species
GUGAAGAGAUAUGAGAGGAGUUGAAUAAGUGGGAGACCCGCCUGGGCCACCGGUGAAAUACCACUACUCUGAUCGUUUUUUCACUUACCCAGUGAGGCGGAGGGGUGAGCCCCAAGGGGCUCUCGCUUCUGGCUCCAAGCACCCGGCGCGGGCCAGGAGUGACCUGCUCCAGGG